CAGCAGCCGCGGUAAUACGAAGGGUGCAAGCGUUAAUCGGAAUUACUGGGCGUAAAGCGUGCGUAGGCGGUGAGUUAAGUCUGCUGUGAAAUCCCCGGGCUCAACCUGGGAAUGGCAGUGGAUACUGGCUCGCUAGAGUGUGUCAGAGGAUGGUGGAAUUCCCGGUGUAGCGGUGAAAUGCGUAGAGAUCGGGAGGAACAUCAGUGGCGAAGGCGGCCAUCUGGGACAACACUGACGCUGAGGCACGAAAGCGUGGGGAGCAAACAGGAUUAGAUACCCGCGUAGUCCCUGUCUCUUAUAC
rnacentral:rRNA from 1 species